rnacentral:rRNA from 1 species
CCAGCUCCAAUAGCGUAUAUUAAAGUUGUUGCAGUUAAAAAGCUCGUAGUUGAAUUUCUGGGCCGCUCUGCUGCGUCCGCUUCGGCGUGACGCGGCGGGUGGACCAUCCUCGGGAGGUUUACCUCCCGACCUUUACUGUGAAAAAAUUAGAGUGUUUAAAGCAGGCCUUUGGCUUGAAUACAUUAGCAUGGAAUAAUGAGAUAGGACUUCGGUGCUAUUUUGUUGGUUGCGUACCGAGGUAAUGAUUAAUAGGGACAGUUGGGGGUAUUCAUAUUCAACUGUCAGAGGUGAAAUUCUUGGAUUUGUUGAAGAUGAACAACUGCGAAAGCAUUUACCAAGGAUGUUUUCA